rnacentral:rRNA from 1 species
UGGGGAAUUUUGGACAAUGGGCGAAAGCCUGAUCCAGCCAUGCCGCGUGUGUGAAGAAGGUCUUCGGAUUGUAAAGCACUUUAAGUUGGGAGGAAGGGCAGUUACCUAAUACGUAUCUGUUUUGACGUUACCGACAGAAUAAGCACCGGCUAACUCUGUGCCAGCAGCCGCGGUAAUACAGAGGGUGCAAGCGUUAAUCGGAAUUACUGGGCGUAAAGCGCGCGUAGGUGGUUAGUUAAGUUGGAUGUGAAAUCCCCGGGCUCAACCUGGGAACUGCAUUCAAAACUGACUGACUAGAGUAUGGUAGAGGGUGGUGGAAUUUCCUGUGUAGCGGUGAAAUGCGUAGAUAUAGGAAGGAACACCAGUGGCGAAGGCGACCACCUGGACUGAUACUGACACUGAGGUGCGAAAGCGUGGGGAGCAAACAGGAUUAGAUACCCCGGUAGUCCCUGAGCGGGCUGGCAAGGCGCAU